GGGAUUAACGAGGACGGAACGGGCUGCUGUCGCCCUCCGACAAAGCCCAUGCGCAGGGUUCGGAGUUAGGAGAUGUGGGAAUGGUCGCCCCACCUAAUCCC
ncrna:unclassified sequences skipping-rope RNA